rnacentral:lncRNA from 1 species
UAAUGAUUUUUCAGUACUUAUAAUUAUGACAGUCAUUAAUUAACUGUGUUUAUCCUUUCUAGAAUUAAAACAAUAAACAGAGGAAAACAUUGGAACUCUGCUGCUUCAUUAUUAACAGAAUCUGACAAGUUACUAAACAAUACAAGGUGCCUCCCAUUUGGCAGAGGAGGACUU